rnacentral:lncRNA from 1 species
GGCAUCAGCAGCAGAAAGGGAGUGGCAGAGCUGUCCAUGGCCACCCAUGCAGAUGGCAAAAAUCCAGGUGCAUAAGGAAGGACUGGGCUCUGAAAGAAAAUUAACAGAUCUAGGGUUAGCUGAAUGUAAUGGAAGAGACUAAGGGAUAUGAGAGGCAAAUAAUACCUUAGCAAGAUGCAAAUGGUAUUUUAGCAAGAUUUUGCAUGGAGAUAUAUAAAAGAAGCAAUAUCUGAAGAAUGAAACAAUACCUUUUAUCAGACAAGACCGAUACAGCUGCCAGCAGCUUCGAGAAGCCACAGCACAGAGAGGGAAAGGAGAGGUACAGUGGGAUCCCAGCCACAAAGAUCUACCUUCUCACAAAAACCAGAGAGAUACAACUAUCUUUGACAUGAUUUGCACAUGGACCUCCUGAUUCACAGUCUUAUGGUCCAGUUCAUAGAUAAUGAGAUGCCAGCUGCUAUGGACUGAGGCACAGCAUGGCCCAACAAAGAACUGUGCUGGUUAUAGUGCAGCAAGGCAGCUGUCUCUCCCUGGUGAAAGGAUGAUCCCAGAGAGCCCAGCUCUGACACGGGCAUACAGCCCAUCUUCAUUUCUCUCUCUGUCCUGACACUCUCCAUCAGACCCUGUGGGCUUUUUUUUCCCCCUGUGUCUCCGGUAGUGCUCAGUCUCCUCCCUGCCUCCUGCAGCCUCAAGCCUGUGCUGCAGCCAGCCUGCAUGCUUCAUUCCUCAGGAGCAGCUGUGACACAAGUUAAACAAGGAGCCACAGAAGGUUUCGCAAGAAAGACCAAAAAACAGAAAAGAGGAAUCAGUUCCAGAAGUGGUUAAUUUUAUGUCAAAAUGAAGUGUGAAGCCUGUUUUGGCAGCAGAACCCAGGAAAGUGAGACAUUCUCAGAAGUUACUCUGCAAAUUUAGGCUCCAUGCCAAGCUUUACCCUGUUUCUUCCAGGUGUGUUGAAGAAAUUUGUUUCUUCUGUCUCUUUGCCUGACAACUGCAUCAUAACUAGAAAUAAGAUAUUGGAUCUCAAUUGCCAUUGGCACUGCACUUACUGAACACUUACUUUAUUUCCUGCAACCAGUGCAUUACAUGUGGAUUCAAAAUGAGGAGACAACAGGUCCAGUUGAAGAAAACAACACCCAAACUGAUUCCAUUAAAAUACUCAAUAUAUAAAGGAAUAUUUUAAACACAAUAGCAAGAAGCAAUAAAACAUCACACUCUUAACAGUACCAUAAUUUUGCCUGCCUCCACUCGCUCCAUCUGUACAAAUGAAAUCUUUUAGACAAAGCCACAUCCCAUGAACAUGGCAGAUGCAAAUCUUCCCUCUGAGGAUAGGGAGUGCAUAAACCAACCAUUUUCAUGUCAGCACUACUGGCAUAUCUCAAUAAACCUAUCUAAUGCAACUACUUCAAACAUUGUAAGCCACUAUUACAUUUCACUGCACACUCUCCAUAUGAAAAGGUUAUUGUUGUUACAGUCUAGAUGCUACUUCACUAAGCUCAUCCUUUGAGAGAAGCUAGAUGCAAAAGUGAAGAUUAUUACCAAGAUAACCCCUCUGUCAGUCCUUGUAAGUUGCUCCUCUGAUCUCAUCCAAAAAUAAGAUUACCCAGAGGCUUUAAUGAACUAUAUUUAAUUGAUGCCUGGUAUUAACUGCACCUUCAUGAGAGAGAUAAUAUCUUUUCCCCAGAUACAUAUCACUCAUACCCUCACAUAAAUCUAGUGUUUGUUGAGUAGGCCCAUUUAUAUCAUCUUACAAAAUGUCACACAGAUCAGUUUUUGCUCCAGUUUCUAAUUUCCUGAUAUAACGGAUAUGCACAUCCACAGUUGCCAGGCAGCAGAUCUCAGGCUGUAGCCUCCACAGCAUUAUUCUUCCCAAUUUCCACAUUAAUUAUUGACAGGUUAAAAUAUAUUAAUUAGUAACAGCCAGGAACAGCAUCCUUCAUUGUUAAACACUGGGAUUACCUGGCAUAGCAAAAGAAGGUGAGUAAUCUUUAGGGCAAUAUCUGAAGGAUUGAUUGAAGCAGAAAUGUACAGAGGAUAUCCUCAGAGGCAGGAGCUCCCUUUUCCAGCAACAGGUAUGUCUUUCUCCUUUGCAUCUGUACCACCAGCACAGGCUCAAGCCUUAUGCUGUGUAGAAGGAGCCACAGCCAGGACUAAUAACUGUGUGAACCCCUAUGUCUGCAUGGCCCCUAAGAAUGUCCCACAAGACUGAGGAAGGGCAAAGUUUGGCAGGUUCAGCUUCUCUUGAAGAAAUCCCUUUAAAGCAUCAUCCAAACCUGGGCCAAAAUAUUAACAAAAUUCCAGACAGACACAGUCCUUUUGAGUUCAGUGUUUCUGAAGAGGAGCUAGACCUUGGGCUUGGUCAUGAUGAGGACUACAUGGUGUUUCUGCUUGCCUUAGUGCAUGGUUGUUACCACUUUGUGCAAGAGACUGCAGGAAUAAGUGUUCCUGAUGGAGGUUCAGCAACAUAAGUGCAUGAGAGAAAAAGGAAGACAGCCUGUCAUGCUUGCUAGCAGUGCCUGGAUGGACCACAUUCCUUACAGCUGAGGAAACUGCAGUCCUUGGGGCUGAUGAUGAGAUUUCCCCCAGGGUACACAAUCUCUUCUCUUAGUAGAAAAAAGUGCCUGGUCAAGCACACAUAGUGCUGGGAGGUACACAACCUGUACAACUGGGAAAAAGGCAGCAAAGCCAAAAAACAUCAGGUCCAGCAUCUACUACUGAUAAUUACUUGAAAGGUAACCAGUCCCAAGAAGUUUUCCCCAUCAGAAUGCAAAGAAAAUAUCUUAUUUCUCACACUCCCUGCUGAAUACAAAAUGGGAGGGGAGCAAAAAUUCUCAAAAUAUUAAUACUAAGAUAACCAUUCAUAUAUAAACAAUACGCAAGAUCACUGUGUUUCUCUGAUGAUACUAGUUUAAAGAGCUGCCAUCCAACUGUAUGAACACUUAUUUGCACACAUGCAUACAUCAAAGGACUCUAGCCUACCCCAAAACCUUCUCCUAAAACGGUGUCAUAACUCAUUGCCAGGAAAAUUGUUUAGACAUCAUAUACUUCCAACAGGUAAGAUCAAAGGGAACCAUGUAUGAAAAACAGAAUUCUCCAUCUAUCUGUUCACACAAUCUGCUUCUAUACCUUUAAGAAACAGAAAGCCAAAUACACCAGGAAACUCAGCUUGUCACAUGCACAAGCUAACCACCUGUUGCUGGGUGAAAUCAGAAAAAAUCUUCCUCUGAUUCUAUACACAUGAAAUGUUGGAGACUGCCUUCCCAGUAAGAGUGCAUCUGCUGAUCCUUGCUUUGCCCAUCCUCUGUCUAGUCCUUAACUAUUCAUGAGCCAGGGAUUAUUGAUUUCCAGGCUUUAAUGCAGGUUCUGAUUAUACAUUGAGGUCUUAAUGGAUAACUAGAGGAAUGAUUUGUCACUGUUCAGCCUUUUGAAAAAUUUCUAGUGGCCAGCACAACCUUGCCUGGUUUGUUUUGCCAAUGUGAUUUAAGACUGAGGGUGUGCCUCUGGAGGUUGCAGGCUAGGCAUAUGCUUUCCUACCUGACCCCUGGAAUUAAACUUCUCUUCUAUGGUACUGAAAGUCUUCCAUCCCCAUUCAUUCAGCAGGAGUUUGAGAACACUGAGCAUUGGAGUGAUAUUCCUGGUGCAUUCCUUGAAAGUGAUCCUGAAAGCACAAAGACAGACACAAACAAGGCUCUAAGGGAUCAAAUGCCUUGUCUGUCUCAUCUCUCUCUAUUUAGAGAGAAAAUACUCUUUUUCAUCUGUUGCCCUUUUCAUUUCAUUUCAAAGAGCACACAUUUUUUUCCACAUUAAAGUGUCUUCAUCUGCAGCCAAAUAAAAACAUUUUGAUAUUCAAGGCUUUUUUAGAUUCAUAUCCUUGAAGUCUGUAGAGCCCCAUUAAAAGCUGUGAGGUAUCCUCCUCAUUAAAUGUGGCUCUACAGAUGAGCAUAGGUUGUAAUAGGUUCUUUUCAGUAAAACUGCUACCAUACAAGUAUCAUAUUAGGGUAAAAAACAAAUUAAAACCCUCUUAGUCAGAAGCUUAUCUAGGCUUGAAUUAACAGCCUGCACAUCCAACUUCCCGUUUGCUGUGUGCACCCUUGCUGCAAAUGUUCAACACCUCACGCUGCUCCUGUAAUUGUGUUGAAAAAGGCCAUCAGAUUCAGAGCACUGUUUCUCAUAUUUCUGAAUUACAUUUAUAGACUAAGGCACUCCAGGGUACAGCGUACGCUUAUCUUUCUGCACUUUAAAACAUGGCAGGGGUACUGCAGUCCUGGACUAAAGAUGCAUUAGCAGAGUCAUGUGGUGACAAAUUGCAUAACACCUGCUUUUACUAGGUUUAGCUCCAGUCUGCUAUUAGUUCCUUGCUUUUGUGAGCAAAGCGUUUUCCUGUGAAAGAAUAAUAGAAAACUCAGUCAAGGCAGAGCUGUAAAUAAAUACCAGCACAUUCAGCUGGAAAAGAUUUAGAGAGUGUUCCUGUCAGCAACCAGGAAGGCCAAAAAGCCUCAAAGCACAAAGUUUACACACAGGAAACCGGUGACACAUCACACCAUUGCUUAUCUCACUUCAUACACCACCACAGGGCAGAGGUUUGGGUCUAUCCCAAGGAUGAGGUUGCUCAUCUACAAAGGUUAAACCUCAUCCAUUCGGCUCACAGUCCACAUAGCAAACUAGGCUGAAGGAGAAAUGGCAUCCUGUGGGGCCAGGCACCAUUGCACUACUGCUCUGAAGGCAGUAACCUGCCUGUAACCCUGCUUGCACAGGGUAUUUCAGAGCACUCAGCUUCACUGCUCUUGUUGGAGCACAGUGUAAAGGCAUUGUCCUGGGGUCAUGGAAUGUGGAGGGUGUUGCAGGAACCAGCCCAUAAUAUGAUCCAAAUCACCCUUUGAUCUCAGCACUGCACUAUAAGAAAGGGAAGCUCCUUAUCAGCAAUGUGGGUCCACAGAAAAGACUGAGACAGCCCCUUUCAGCCACAACUGGCAAGAAACCAAGAAAAGACAGGCUAAAUUUCCACUUUUUGUGGUAACACAGAUGGAAAAUUGUACGAAAAUUAUGUCUUUCACUGCUCUGUCCUGAAGCAGAUUAAAGCAGAAAAUAGAGCUUGGGCUGUGAGGAGAGAGUGAAACCCAAACUUGUGGGACAUGGAGAAGUACUCCAGCUGAGGAUUGAAACUCAGGAAAAACAGUCCCAGGGCUGAUGGGAAAUAUACUGAAUAAGCCAGUAGUAUGCAUCAAAAUUAUUUUAUAUUAUUAUUAUUAUUGUUAUUACAAUAUCCUGGAAAGAAAUGGGAAUCUGGAAGAGCAAGGGGAGAAUAUUUAAACAAUAAGAGGAAAGUUAAGGUGAUAAGAAAGGCUGAACACAAAAUACACCUUGCUGAAGCAAGCAUUUAGCCCCAGCACCUGAAAGCCACAUCUGGUGGUGGCCUAGGACGCCCAGAAAUUUCCUUGUGGGUUUUUUUGGAAUUUGUAACAUUAAAAAAAAAAAAAAAUACACUAAAACAAACAUAUCUGCUCUUGUUCAGCACAGAAUUCCAACUAUAUUUUCGCUUCACAAAUGUGACACAGGUAUAUGUAGGUAUACAAUUUUCAUGCUUCUGAGUCAUGGAAAAAAGGUUGUAUUGCAAGCUGAUGUGGGCCACAUGCUAACAGGAGGUUGGAGCAACUGAGUUUAGGCACAUAGACAAAGCAACACAAUCACCACAACUUAUAUGCAACACAAAUACCACAAUGUUGUUUAAGAAACUACUCUUAAACCAUCUGCAAAUCUUAAUUAACUCCAUGAUUCCUGCUGCACUGCUCAUCCUUGCUGCUGUUGGUUUGACCCUCUUCCUUCCAAGAAAAUUCUUUUCCGUGUCAAACCACAACACUUUGGCAUGACCAGUGAGGUGGGGUCUCCUCCAGAGUUGAUGCUGGGUCUGACAGAUGAGACAUAGGACAAUCUCAUGGAAGGCAAAACUCUAUGCCUGGCUCAUAUGCCACUUCAUUUUAUGGUGAUAAAAUGACCAAGCACAACAUUUUCCCUUUUCACCAGCUAUAAAACAUUGGUACUUACAAACCUCCUGUAAUUACCAGAAGGGCUGGAAGGCACAAUCCAAGUCUGCAAAGCAUCUUGUGAUUUUCCACAAAGGAAGCUAGCAACAGGUUUACAGGUCUGCAAAGAGGGAGAACAGGCAUCUGCCUCCCUGCUCUGCCCUGCCUAAGGAGCUCUCCUGCACAGAACACCUGGGGGAGUGCACUGCUGGUUUCAGUAAGGUUGUUAUGCAAGGAGGGGAAAAAAGCUUUCUGUUCAAUGCAAUUACCUGGAACCCAGAGAACUGUCUUUUAGCUUUAAGACUGCUGCAGAUUUCUUACUGGGUUUGACUUAGCUGUUUAAUCUUCCUGCACUUUCAGUUAUCCCGUUAGGAGAAUCAGGAGAUAACCCUUUUAACUCACAUGGGUGCUGUAGGAGCAUUCAAAUUGCUGAAGAGCUCUGAUACUAAGAUGAUUUAGGCUAUAAAAGAACAUAAGUACAUUAGGAAUUCUGUAGCUGGCCGAUUCCUAUUUCAUAACACCCACUAAAACUGGCAUAUGGAGUUCUUAAUCCAUAGAUAAAUUCAUUUUAAUCCCCAAAUCUAGUCAACGGCACUGGUUUGCUUCAAGAACAAUGUACACACAGAGAAAUCUUGCUAUCCCAAACCAUCUGGAUAUUACUGGGUUAAGAGAAACCAGAAAAAAUAGGAAAAGAAACAAAAACAAUGGAGAAAUAAAACCAUUUAAUUAUAAUCAUUCAUAAUUCAUCAAUGUUUCAGCUGGUGUGUUUAAACUUUUCACAAGUAGAUCCUUGCAUAAAUUCCCACAUGCAAAAUGUCAUUCAUGCUAAUUUAGUUUUUGCAAUUCAGAGGCCAGUUCAGGGACAAGGUACUUCAAAAGUUAGUUUCAAGUUGAACUAUGAACAGAAGAAAUAUCUUGAAUAAACUAAUCAUGGGGUCUUUCUUUUUACUGUAGCAGAUCACAUCUUAACAAAAGCAGCAAGUGUACUGAGGAGUGCAUACCACAGAGCAAAGAAUGUAUAAAUUGCAUUGACAAGUAUAUAACUAAUAAAAACACCACAGUGUAAAGAAAC